UGCACAAUUAUUGUUGACAUUAAUUUCCUAGUGCAGGUCCAGUUUGCUUGCGACCGUCCCCAGUGUGUUCUACUUCUCCUAAACAAGACAGUGUUCAAUUCAUUAGUUUACUGUUUUCCAGAGACUAAAUAGACUUUUGCCCAUCACCAUGGCUCAGAAGAAGGUAACCAUCGAAUACUGUGGUUCCUGAGGGUACUAUCCGCGCUACCGAGAGCUGCACGAGAUGAUCGAGUCAGCAAUCAAAGGCGUGGAUGUUAGUGGCAAGCGGGGCAGACCUAGUUCAUUCGAGGUUAAGUUGAAUGGCCAGGUCUUGUAUUCCAAGCUCAAAAAUGGAGGGUUUCCAGACUUAGAUGCAAUUGUGGAAGCCAUCGAGGACUACAAGGGUGAAGGCACUGUAACUCCAGUGGAGAAGAAAGCAGCGUCAUGUAUCAUCUUGUAAAGAGAAUGGACACCCCCCCCCCUCUCACAGGUUCACUGGACAGAAUAGAUAAUCCUUUACAAUCUUAGCACAGCACCAAAGAAUGAGACCCUUUAAAGCACAAAGUGUAGAACACCAUUGACCCCUUUUUAAUGCAGGUAUAACAAAGAGCUCAAAUUUGGAAGUGAAUGAGGUCAAACUUCACAAAUUUCUUUUUUUCCUUCUCAGGUACAUGGCUAUUUUUAUUGAAUUUUGUUGUAAAUAAGGUGUCAGGUUAUACUUCUAAAGGAAGAAAUCAAGAAUUUACUAUAAUAAUAAUAAAUAUAAUAAAAACAAACAAGCAAACAAAAAACUAAUCUGAAACACAUUAAAUUUAAUAUACAGGGAUAUCUAAUUCAAUACAUGAAUUCCUUUUUAUAGUAUGAAUUUAAAGUACGCUCUAAUAUCACAAUUUGAAAUGCCUGUUCUAUUCUGUCAAGUGAACCUACAUCGACAAAAUGUCUUUCAUUCUCUAAGUCACAUGAAAUCAUACUUUCCCCUUAGCAUUACCGACUCAUGGUCCAACUAAUGACAAGUUGGGUUGAAAGGGGAGGAACCACCUCCCCCUAUCCAAGCUUUGAUGUAAUCUGGGUCUGUUUGUGAAGCUAGAGGUAAAGAGAUUUCUUGUGUUCAAUUUAUGUUAUGUUAUAUUCGUAAUUUUCGUAAAUGUAUUACAGUUAACAACUAGAUUAUUCUUAGUCUUGCCAAGUUUUUGUAAUUGCUAGUAAGUAUGUGAUAAAGUUGAUUAGUCCCAAUUUAUGUUUCUUGAUAGUGUGAUAUAUUGAAGCUCACAUCUAUGAGUAUUCAACAAAAGGCCUAAUUCAACCAGUCCACUUUUGAUUCUUGAGUUACAAAGAACAAAAAUAACAUCGAAUUUAAUUACAGGGGGUAUGAAUAAUUCAGUGGUUUAACUGUUUAUAUGAUGUAUAGAUAUUUUUGUUUAUAGCAUAUCCGUCAUGAAAAAGAGUUUGGUUUUAUAAUUAUGUGGUAUCUUUGAGUGAUUAUUGUUUACGAGAAAUGUGAUGAAGCACAAAGUAGGCUGUAAUUAUUCUCAGGGAAGAGUACAUUAUCUUGAUAUUAUUAACCAUUGGCCAUGAAAGAAAAAAGCAAAACAACAUUUGCAUCUUUGCUUAAAAAAAAAUCACAAAUACAAUUUGGUAAAUAUAAUCACAUGGCAAUCACUUUGAGAAAAAUAAAUUAGGUGUUCUUGAUAUUGUUGUGGUAAUGGUGAAAGUCAUGUUAAACCUUGAAAGUGAUAGUGGGACUAAAUCUAAACCAGAAUAGAAUAAUAGAGUUCAGCUCAAAAGCUUUGUACAUCUGAAUCGGUUAUUUCAAAGAAUAAUUCUGCACUUAACUGUGUUUGAAAUUCUCUUCAGCUUUGCUUAGAAAUCCAUUUAUCUAUCACAUGUUUUUUUAAUUUUUUAUAAAAGAUGUCCGAAAAUGUUAUGGUAAGUUGGAGGCUUUCAUCUAUUGGUCUAGAAAUCGUAAUUGCCAUUGAUGCCUUGAAGGUUUAUGUCCAUGUUGAAAUAAGCCCGGUGUCAGAGACUUAUGCAGUUUUGUACAAUUCAUCCCAAUCCACAGUUAUUGACUAUCUGAGAAAUAAAUGCAAUUAAAACUUAAUUUCCAACAGCA